rnacentral:rRNA from 1 species
AGAGUUUGUAGUCCUGGCGUCAGGACGAACGCUGGCGGCGUGCCUAAUACAUGCAAGUCGAGCGGACCGGAUUGGGGCUUGCCUUGAUUCGGUCAGCGGCGGACGGGUGAGUAACACGUGGGCAACCUGCCCGCAAGACCGGGAUAACUCCGGGAAACCGGAGCUAAUACCGGAUAACACCGAAGACCGCAUGGUCUUCGGUUGAAAGGCGGCCUUUGGGCUGUCACUUGCGGAUGGGCCCGCGGCGCAUUAGCUAGUUGGUGAGGUAACGGCUCACCAAGGCGACGAUGCGUAGCCGGCCUGAGAGGGUGACCGGCCACACUGGGACUGAGACACGGCCCAGACUCCUACGGGAGGCAGCAGUAGGGAAUCUUCCGCAAUGGGCGAAAGCCUGACGGAGCGACGCCGCGUGAGCGAAGAAGGCCUUCGGGUCGUAAAGCUCUGUUGUGAGGGACGAAGGAGUGCCGUUCGAAGAGGGCGGCGCGGUGACGGUACCUCACGAGAAAGCCCCGGCUAACUACAUG